rnacentral:misc_RNA from 1 species
GUGAAUCAUCAAAUUUUUGAACGCAAAUUGCACUCUCUUCGGAGAGUAUGCCUGUUUGAGGGUCAGUAUCAAUAAAAAUCGGCGUGUUGUUCUUUUGUGACGUUCCGGUGUUUGGGUCAUCUUAUAAUAACAUCCUUUCAGGGUAUUUUUAAGUGGUUUAGAAUUGACCUUUUUUGUGCAUUUUAGAAGUACAUAAAUUUUUUUUCUUUGUCUAUCUUUUUGCCAAAUCUAUAUUAGCUGCGACUAUAU